GACGGGACAGCUCAAGUGGUAGAGUGCGUGCUUAGCAAGCAAGAGGUCCUGGGUUCAGUCCCCAGUAUCCUCU
rnacentral:tRNA from 1 species